rnacentral:rRNA from 1 species
CGUAUAUUAAAGUUGUUGCAGUUAAAAAGCUCGUAGUUGAACUUGUGCAUGUCCCUGUAUGUCCAUCUUAUUUGGUGCCUUCAAGGGCGUGCAUUCUUGGGUGAAACCUGUGUGGCAUUAGGUUGUCGUGUAGGGAAUGCUCAUCGUUUACUGUGAAAAAAUUAGAGUGUUCAAAGCAGGCUUAUGCCGUUGAAUACAUUAGCAUGGAAUAAUAAGAUAGAACCUUGGUACUAUUUUGUUGGUUUGCGAACUGGGGUAAUGAUUAACAGGAACAAUUGGGGG